rnacentral:rRNA from 1 species
CUCCUACGCGAGGCAGCAGUGGGGAAUCUUGCACAAUGGGGGCAACCCUGAUGCAGCGACGCCGCGUGAGCGAUGAAGCCCUUCGGGGUGUAAAGCUCUUUCGGCAGGAACGAUAAUGACGGUACCCUCGCAGGAACGAAAGCUGCGGCCUAACGUACGGUGCCAGCCGCCGCGGUAAUAC